CCAGUGGCAUCGCCGGGUAGCUAUGUUCGGAAGAGAUAACCGCUGAAAGCAUCUAAGCGGGAAACUCGCCUUAAGAUGAGAUAUCCCUGGGGACUAGAUCCCCUUGAAGGGUCGUUCGAGACCAGGACGUUGAUAGGUCAGGUGUGUAAGCGCAGUAAUGCGUUCAGCUAACUGAUACUAAUUGCCCGUAAGGCUUGAUCCUAUAACA
rnacentral:rRNA from 1 species